rnacentral:misc_RNA from 1 species
GCUUCAUACACUUAACAUAUUCAAGAAGAGGGAACAAAAACAACUUCUAGCAUACUAUGCUAUAGUUGAUAUUCACACACUAAAAAUCAAGAAAAUUAGUAAAACCUUUCUACAAGAACUUGGACCUCACAAACAAAACUAGAGGAUUAUAACCCAAAUUCUCACCAAACCAAAAAGAAAACAACAAAACUAGGCAAACAACCAUCUGCUCCCACAAAAACCAGCACCAGUUAAUACUUAAAGAGGGUCAUAAAGAACCCCUCCUCUAAUUUACCUAGUCAAAAAAUGUCAGUUUUUUCCUCACUACAUAUAAUUUUUUUUUUAUUUAGUAAAACACUCUGUACAAACUCUUAAAAACACUUGUUCCUAUACACAGAACAAAACCAUUACAACAGAAAUACCAGUCUAACACUAUCAUUUUUCACUCAAGGAGUUGAAGUUGAAGCUUCUUGUCUUGGUUCUCUCAAGUAUCCUAGUAGUGUUUCUGCCUUGUGUUUAGCUUUGGCAGUACCAUUCUGAGACAAGGCAACAAGAGGAGGUAUUCCACCUUCUCUAACAAGAAGCCCUCUGUUUCUAACACUAUCCGUACAGAGCUGCAACAAUGUCAACACAGCAAAUUCUUUUCCUUUAUCAGAACUAUCUUCAAUAGCUUCAACGAGUGCAGCGAUUCCACCUUCUUCAACAAUGGCUUCUUUACCCGAAUCAAUCCCUGUUAAUAAACUCAACACAACCAUAGCUUUUUCAGCUAAACCAUUCCCCUGUUCACAAACAAGUCCAACCAGUGGCUUUACUGCACCAGCACUAAUAGCUCGCUCUUUAUUUAAUUUCAUUGAACAAAGUUUGUAAAGGGUUGUUAAUGCAUCUUUUUUACCUCUAUUUGUUCCAUUGAUAAGUAAACAUACUAAGGGUGGAAUAGCACCACAAGCACCAAUGGAAAGCUUGUUUUCAUCAAUCAAAGCUAAGCUUAAUAACCCACAAGCAGCGUUUUGUUUCGAAGUGUCGGUGCCGGUUUUCAGAACGUAAAUUAAAGAUUUUAUAGCUCCGGAGGAAGUGAUUAAAACCUUAUUCGGUUCGUGAAGUGAGAGAUUUAACAGGGCUGUAA